rnacentral:sRNA from 1 species
AAUUAACCCUGAUGGGAAUGGCAUCCUUUUUCUUUAUUGUUCUUAAAGAAAAAGAUAGAAUGGACAGCAGGAAAAUGG